rnacentral:rRNA from 1 species
GACGAACGCUGGCGGCGUGCCUAAUACAUGCAAGUCGAACGCACAGUUUAUACCGUAGCUUGCUACACCAUAGACUGUGAGUUGCGAACGGGUUAGUAACGCGUACAUAACCUGCCUGGGAGCGGUGGAUCACUAUUGGAAACGAUAGCUAAUACCGCAUAAUCUUAAUUAUUGCAUGAUAAUUAAUUGAAAGGUUCAAUUGCACCACUACUAGCUAGACGUGCGUUGUAUUAUCUAGUAGGGGAGGUAUCGGCUCACCUAGGCGACGAGACAUACCCGAACCGAGGGGAUGAUCAGCCGCACGGGGAAGGGGACACGGCCCAGACUCCUGCGUGAGGCAGCAGUAGGGAAUCUUCGGGAAGGGGCGAAAGGCAGACCGAGCAACGGCGCGAGAGUGAAGAAGGGUUUCGGAGCGUAGAGGUCGGUUGUAAGCGAAGAGCGGGUGUGAGUGUGGAAAGAUCAAGCUGUGACGGUAUCUGAGCAGAAAGCGACGGCUAACUACGUG